rnacentral:rRNA from 2 species
AAAAUGACUCUCGGCAACGGAUAUCUCGGCUCUUGCAUCGAUGAAGAACGUAGCGAAAUGCGAUACUUGGUGUGAAUUGCAGAAUCCCGUGAACCAUCGAGUCUUUGAACGCAAGUUGCGCCCGAAGCCAUUAGGCUGAGGGCACGCCUGCCUGGGUGUCACAC